rnacentral:rRNA from 1 species
GACGAACGCUGGCGGCGUGCUUAACACAUGCAAGUCGAACGGAAAGGCCCUGCUUUUGUGGGGUGCUCGAGCGGCGAACGGGUGAGUAACACGUGAGUAACCUGCCCUUGACUUUGGGAUAACUUCAGGAAACUGGGGCUAUACCGGAUAGGAGCUCCUGCUGCAUGGUGGGGGUUGGAAAGUUUCGGCGGUUGGGGAUGGACUCGCGGCUUAUCAGCUUGUUGGUGGGGUAGUGGCUUACCAAGGCUUUGACGGGUAGCCGGCCUGAGAGGGUGACCGGCCACAUUGGGACUGAGAUACGGCCCAGACUCCUACGGGAGGCAGCAGUGGGGAAUAUUGCACAAUGGGCGGAAGCCUGAUGCAGCAACGCCGCGUGCGGGAUGACGGCCUUCGGGUUGUAAACCGCUUUCGCCUGUGACGAAGCGUGAGUGACGGUAAUGGGUAAAGAAGCACCGGCUAGCUACGUG